rnacentral:lncRNA from 1 species
GAUAAAUUAAAACAAUCUUUACCAUUCAGUGAUAACAAGCACUUUAUUUUACAUUUUAAUAUUUUAUGAUGUAUUUAAAUGAGUAGUUAUUGUUGCAAACUCCAUUAGGAAUUUGAAUUGAGAUCAGUUUUGGAAAAAGGGAAAGGGGGAUGUGAAAAAAAAAUGGGGGGGGGGGGUUAAAUUUUUCUCAUUUCAGAUUUCAUAAAUAAAAAGAAAAUUUCUUCAAACAUUUUUUUGAGAGGAUUAAUAUUCAACAGCAUAGUGAAUUGCUCAAAGGCAAAAAAAAAAUAUUUUAAGUUCAUUAGACCACAUUCAUUCUGUGUCAGAAACCUAUGCUGUGUCAACUAUUUAAUCACAAUCCAAAUUUAGAGCUGAAUCCAGCUUAAAUGUUGUGUCCAUACUUGCCCCAAUUGUUCAGGGUUCAACCUCUGCGGUCGUAUAUAGCUGCGCC